UUCCUGUUUUGAUAGUGGUUUCUACAGCUAUCUGUGUAUACUUAUACUUGUUCAAAAAUCAUGGAUUAAAAAGAACUAAUAAAGAACCUAGCUCAAGGCCAAACAUAAAUGUUAAUUCUACGUGUUAUAACAACCAUGGUGCGAACGAAUAUGACCAAGUGCGUUAUUCCCUUAUGCAAGACACUAGAUUUUAAUUAUCAUUUUUAUAAACUUUAGAAAAUACUUUUUUCAUAA